rnacentral:lncRNA from 1 species
CAUUUAAUCGCCGUUUUCUGUUCUUGGACAUCAAAGCUGGGGCUUAGGCGCUGUGCUGGGGUCGCGGCGGCGCGGGCGCUGGGGGAGAGGAGUGUGGUCUUCAGCAUAGAGUGAGCUUCUAGUGACACGAGCUGGAGGGAAAGAGGAAGUGCAUCAGGACGGCUCGUCCAAUGGACAAGGAACGUGUGAACAGAGGAAACCUGUGCCCUUUCCCUGGGCAUAGCCUAGAAAGUGUCAAGACUCCAGACUCAUCUCUAUUCUCAAUGUGGUGCUGGAGCAGAAGCAAUGCUUUGAUGGUUGUUUCACAGCCCAGAGUAUCGUAAGCAGAGGGAGAGUGAUUUCCCUUACUCCCGUCUGAGUGUAUGAGUUUGGUAGUGUU